rnacentral:lncRNA from 1 species
UGAGUUAGAAGCUUCUACUUGUGAUAGUAAGGAUCUAUCGGCACGGAUGCUUAGAUCUUCCUUUUAAUUUGGUAGGCAUUUUUUUAAGCAAGUCAUCUCCCUUUUCAGAUUAUAGUAGUAUUAUACGAACGAGCAUCUGCUUGUCGUUGGAAGAUAGCGAAAGAAAGAGAGUAGACAAAUUAUAAGUACCAAGAAGAUAA